CCCCUGCAUCUUCACCAUUAACAUUCUCCAACCCAGAAAGACGGAAAUCACCUUUGAGGUUUGACAAAUAUUUCAAACCUCUAAUAUAACAACCAUCACCUUCCCCUAUUAUAAAAUCAGUUAACCUUUGAAGUUUCGUUAGCUUAUCAAUUCUAAAAGGAAUCCUUUCUAUUGAGUCCGCACCUCUGAUAUCAAGAUAAUGCAAGUUGACAAGAUUUCCCAUCUUUGAAGGUAACCUUUGAAGCCAGUAACACCCUCUUAAUAAUAAAGUUUCCAAAUGGUAAAGAGUGCACAAAGAAUCAGGUAAGCAUUUGAUAUGGGUGUUGGAAAAAUUUAAGUAGCGAAGAUGUUUUAAAUUUUCAAAAACAUCAGGCAACUCAGUGAUCCAAUACCCACUCAAAGAAAGCAUCCUUAAGUAGCCAAGUCUUGGUAGCAAAUCAACCAAAACAACAUUAGUUAAAAAAGGCCCCCGAUAAUCACUAGAAAACAUUAAGGGUAAAAAAGUACGUAAAGAAUUCACUUGAUCAAAUGCUUCAAACUUCUUCACUGUGUCAUAUGUUCCAGCAAUAUAAGAAGAAUGUCGAGUGCGAUUUGAGAACUUCCAUUUCUUAUCACCCUCUAAUUUUGAGCAUAUUUCCCCUGCAACUACUUGAGCUAAAUCAUUGAUUAGGUCAUGCAUUACGAAUCGGGACUUAUCUUUACUGGAUGUCUGAAAAAAUGACCUGGACACUAGAUCUUGAAAAUAUUGAUUUCCGAGAUCUUUAAUUUGAGGCAUAGCUUUUUGUUGCAAGAGACCUUCUGCUCCCCAUAACAAGAUAAUUUCUUCUUCCUCAAAUUCAUAACCUUUAGGAAGUAUGGAGCAAUAUGCAAAACAUCGUUUCAAGUAUGACGGAAGAUGAUGGUAGCUUAAUCGCAAAGCUGGAAUUAUGCCACACUGCUCUUCUGGUAAGUUCCAUAUCUCACUCUCGUAUAUUCUUUCCCAUCCUGCAUAGUCUUUAACUGUGCGUAGCAAGCUUCCGAUGGCUUUUGCAGCCAAAGGUAAGCCACUGCACCUUCUAACAAUUUUCUCCCCAAUUUCUUUAAACUGGAGAUCUCUAUCGAAAUUUCUUUCUUUUAAUGCAUGCUGUGUAAAUAUGGAUAAACAAUCAUCAUCCGAGAGUUUAUCCAAAUGAAAAGCUUUGAGCGGAUCCACAAUAGAUGAAACAAUUUGAAGACGAGUGGUUACAAUGAUAUGGGUCCCUGCUCCAAACGGAGACCGUAAGAUGGUCCAAUCAUUAUAAUUCUCGUUCCAAAUGUCAUCUAAAACAAGCAAGAAUCUUUUCCCAGACAACUUCUCCUUCAACUUAACUUGAAGUAAAUUCAAGUCAUUCUCGUCACGAGAGUCAGGAUCGAUGGAUUUUAAAAUUGUCCUGGUUAUAUUAACUGCGUUAAAUUUAUCAGAAACGCAUACCCAGGCCUUGUGGUGAAAAGACUGGUUGAUGGUGGCAUCAUUGUAAACAAGCUGAGCAAGAGUUGUUUUACCCAUCCCUCCCAUGCCGACGAUGGAAAGGACUGAAACUCCGUUGGAGUUAUCACCUUUGAGAAACUCAAUCAUUUCUGUCUUCUCCUUGUGUCUGCCAACAUAAUCCACAACUCCAUCCAGUACGGAAGUUGGUUGCAGCCUAGGUUGCUUUCCCUUGGGGGUUGGAGCUUGAGACAAGAUCUCACUCAACCCCAAACUACUUCUUCGAGUAGUCAAACUAUUCAGUCUAGCAGUGAUCUCUUUCACCUUUGGAAUCAUGGAAUUCUGAAACAGGAAAGAAGUGGGAGGGAAAAUACUACGAAUAAUCCUUUCAGGAAUGAAUUUCCGUAUCUUACUAGGUCUGGCUUGAGCUUGAGUGUCUUGGAGAUUGAGGCGUAACUCUUCAUAAGCGAACUCGUCCAAGAUGUCAUCCACAUCGUAUGCCAAGUCCUGGAGAUCCUCCAACCAUUUCUUCACACCCAUGUUCUUGAUCUGCUUCCCCUCUGCAUCGUCCAACACUGCUUGGAUAUCAGGCAAUAUGGACUGCCACUGCUUGAGCUGCUGGUGGAGUUGGUAGUGAUCAGCAACAAAGUUGAGUGCAGAGUCAAGCGAUUUGCCCACCAACAGGUCCAGGAACCCAGAAAGAGCAGCCUCUCCAAUGACAGACAUGGUGGAAUUGUGAGAAAUAAGGGGACAAGAGAAAUGAGCAAAGCCAAAAUGGAAAGUCAGGGAACAAAAAAGAAAGAAAGGGAAAUGGAAUCUGCAAAAUUAGAGAAAGUUGAAGAAAUUGGCACAGUAUCCUUGAAGCAUGUCAUUUAAUAAUUCAGACUCUGAAGCAAUGAGUUGGAAGUCUUUUCGUGUUAAUGGGGAAGGAAAAAUGGAAAUGAUGGGACCUUUGCAUUUGAAUUUUGAUGCUCUUCUUUUCUCUUGCUUUUGGUCAUUAUCCUAAAUAUGUAAUUUAAUUAAACAUCAAAAUAUUAUAUUUCUCACAACUAUAUCGCCAAAAUAUAGCAAACACCAAGACCAUAUUUGGUUCGCUGUAAUAGAAUAGAGGCGUAAUGGAAUAGAGACGUAAUAGGUAAUUCUUUUGUUUGGUUGAGUGGAAUGGAAUAGAGGCAUAAUGGUAUUCUUGUGUUUGGUUGAAUGGAAUAGAGGUGUAAUAGCAUAAGGAAAAAAGCUAAAAUGACUAGAAUACCCUUAACAGAAUUUUUGUAAGUAAAUGAUUAUUGUUAUUGUUAUUAAAUUUUAAUAAGAUUAUUAAUAUAAAUAAUAAAUAAUUUAAUCAUAUUUUAACAUGGUUGUUAUUAAAUAUAAUUUAAUAAAAAUAUAUAAUUUAAUAAAAUUGUUAAUAAAUAUUCUUAUAUGAAUUUACUAAAAUCAUAAUAUAUAAUAUUAUAAAAUAUAAUUUAAAAUAAUUAUUAGUAAAUAUCAUUUAAUAAUAAUAUAUAAUUUAAUAAAAUUCUUAUUUUUAUAUGAAUUUACUAAAAUCAUAAUAUAUAAUACUAUAAAAUAUAAUUUAAAAUAAUUAUUAGUAAAUAUAAUUUAAUAAUAAUAUAUAAUUUAAUAAAAUUCUUAUUCUUAUAUGAAUUUAUUAAAAUCAUAAUAUAUAAUACUAUAAAAUAUAAUUUAAAUAAUUAUUAUUAAAUAUAAUUUAUAAUCUACUUUAUUAUUUUUAAACUGCAAUACAUAUUUAAUGUGGUAAAAUAUCAUUUGUGGAACAAAUAAUUUAAUUAUUCUACAAUAAAAAAAUAUUAGCAGUAAUAAAUAACUUUAGAAUUAUAUUUUGCAUAAACAUAAUUUUCACAUAUUAACAAACUGUUAAAUGAAAUUCAUGAAAUUCUAUAUCACAAUCCAUAUGUUAUACAGUUUUGCCACAUCAAAAAGUUAAAACAUUGUAAUAACAUAUCAUCCCAAAUAUUACAAACAGAAAAAGUUACGAAAAUGUCAUCAACAAAACCAUAAUUUUUAAUGGUCAGCAAGAAUUCUUCUGACCCAUUCCAACCGUACAUUCAGAAGGUAAACUAAAGAAAACGAGCAUUUGAGUUGGAUGAUCUGUAAUUUUACUCAAUGCUCGAAACCGCUCAUCCACAGUUAAACCUUCUAUUUCACAUAAGGUUGGAUAUAAAUUUGUAGCUUUUUCUUGGAUGGUAUGGAAUUCUUCUGACCUUUGUUGAACUACCACAUCAGAGGCAAUACUCCUACUGAUUUGUUCGCCAAUGGCCCGCAUGUUAUCAGUCAAUAAAGUGGCAGCUUCAUUAACUGAAGAAGAAAAAUGACCACUUGCAUCAGAAUUAUUUUUUUUCCUCUUUGAAGAUGAAGAACCCCUUUGGUUUCUAUCUGGUUGCGGCUCCGUAGCAGAAACAUCCAUGUCCUCCAAAGAGACAUUAUCAUCGCAGUCAUAGUAUUCGUUUCUUUCUUCAUUAAUAUCUGCAGUAGGUACAUCCUUAGCAUUUAUUUCUUCAAGAACGUCAGCGGCUGUUUGAGCGUCUUUCCCAGUCGCUCGAUCUUUUGCGUAUAUGGCAGUCAGUUGGUCGUAGUAAGGGAAACUACGAUGUCUGAACUGACCGGCUUCUUUAUGACUCUAUAAAAAAGAGGAAAUCAUAUUAGUUAUAAGUUUGGUAAAAAUAAGAUAAUAAAGACUUGAACUCAUUCUUACCUUUAAAUAAGAGUCCCAAACCGCAUCCUCAGCAACAACGACCUGCCUAUGGUCGUCCCAACCAAAACCGCUAUUGUUUUGGCCAUUAAACAUGUCAUACACGAUUGACCAAUCCCUUUUUAGUAACCUAAUCCUUGACUCGAUAUUAGGUCUAGCCUUCAACAUUGCAUUAGGUAAAGUCUUUUCUAACAUUUUUUCCAACUCGUUUAAGUAACCGGCUUUGAACCCCGUAUCAGUGUUAAAUGUUCCAACAUUGUGCAAGUCCACCAUGCAGGAAACCAAUGCUGCAGCUUCUUCUGAAACCCAUUUUCUUUUGGUUCCUCGAGAUGAUUGGGAAGGAACAUUUGAUUCUGAAACACCUGACAUAAUUAUCUUAAGAAAAAAAAUUAAAAUUAAGUUUAAUAUCAUGAAUCAAAAGGUGAACACUUUAUAAAAUUAAAAUUGAGUUCAAUAUCAUGAAUCAAAAACUCAACACUGUAUAAAAUUAUAACACAUGAUGAAUGAAAAGAAAUCAAACUAUAAUUCAACAAGUUUAGUACAAUACAAAAAACACAAAAACACCACCAAAGUUCCAUCCUCCAUAAAUCUAACUAAUUUCUAGAUGCUUGCCAUUCAUCAAACAUUUGGUUGGCUAGUUCCAUCUCCAAGUAGCCCAAGCAUCCGAUGGAUGAAUAUUGACGAUAUGAGGUUUAUCGUCAUCUACCACAUCACUAGGUAAUCCUUCUCCCACCUCCGCUUCAAUAGGAUCAAUACUCAUAUAGGUUCGAAUAAAAUUAUGGAGCAAACAACAUGCAUUAAUGAUUCUAUUGUGCACCCUUACAGGAUAGAAUGAUGGACUCCUAAGUAUUCCCCAUCUAAGUUUUAAUAACCCAAAGCAUCUUUCAAUAACAUUACGUGCUGAGGCAUGUUUCAUAUUAAAAAAUUCUUGCAGAGUACUUGGCUGAUAACCCUGACGCCACUCAUUCAAAUGAUAUCAUUGUCCUCUAAAAGGUGCAAGAAAUCCCUCACAAUUUGUGUAUCCAGCAUCAACUAGAUAAUAACAACCUAUUAAAAAAAUUUAAAAAUGAUUAAUUCCCCAAAAAAAAUUGAUCUUAAUGAAUAAUUCAAAGUCCUCUAACUAUCCACUUUACCAUGAGGAACUUUUAGUCCAUGUCUCCUACUAAUGGCAUCUCGAAGAACUCGCCCAUCAGCAACAGAACCUUCCCAACCAGGAAGAACAUAAACAAAUUGUAUUUUAGGUGUACAAACACCUAGAACAUUUGUUGCUAUGUCACCUUUUCGCGUUCGAUAUCUAGGUUUAUCAACCCUUGGAACCCUAAUCUUGAUGUGGGUUCCAUCAAGAGAACCUAAGCAAUUCUAUAUGACAUGUUAUAAAACCUUGAGUUAGGAUACUAAAUUUAAAUCUAAAUCAACUAAAUUAUGUACAAGCUAUAUAUAAAACUCAGUCCAAUACCUUAAACCAUUUCCACCUUCUGUCUGAAGAAUUAGCUGUAAUUGGCUCCGCUUUUUAAAUAACACAUCUUGUAAGCGUAUGACAGCAUUUAAAACACUAUGAAAUGAUCUGCUAACAGUUUCCCCGGACCUAUUGAAGUGAUGCUUGAUAACUCGAUUUUUAAGGUGAUAGGAAAUGAUAUGUAAAAACAUUGCUACUUGCUCAUCAACAAGCAUGUGCCUUGACGACUUCAAUCCCCCUAACGUUUGUAAUAUCUCACAUAGUUUGAAAAAGGAAAAUCUAUUCAUCCUAACUUGUUCAAUACAGGUCUCAUCACUAGCAUAUACAAGCCUUUUCACAUAAUCCCGUUGUGCAUAAAAAUCUAAAAUAUAGGACCUAAUCAUUGGUCUAUAAGUAUGUAGGCUAUUGAUGGCACCCAAUGUAAGUAAAAACCAACUCGCAAUUUUACAUAUUUCCAACCAUAUUGUCAAUGCAAUUCCAAUUCUUUUACGCCUCACACUUUGUGCAAUUAAAGGCAGACGAGCCAUUACUGCAAGAUAUUAAUGUGUUCCAUAUUGUCAAAUCGUAGUAAAAUGGUCACAUUUCUCCAAUCAUAAUUUCAAUAACAGUAAACUAAAAUUAAAUAAUUUAAUUGCCAAAGAACUUACAGUGAUUGUGUGAAAAGAAGACGCUGAAUUGUAGGUGGAGGAAGCAAUCAAACAAGCCGCUUCAAUAGGAAGCAAUAUCACACUAUCAAAGAAAAAUGAACAAUACUAGUUUAAAAUCUUAACCGUAUUUUUUGACAACAAUGUUACAAAUUUAACAUUAACAAACCACAUUUUUCUUUAAAGAAUUUUUAGAAGCACUUUCAAUCAUAAUAACAAUGAAUACUUGUUUUCUUUAAACAAUUUUUACAAGCACUUUCAAUCAUAAUAACAAUGAAUAUUUGUUUUUUAAUCAAGUUGUUUACUUGAUUAUAUCUAAUGAUCAAAUUUUAAUAUAUCCAAUAAUUGUUUUUUAAUCAAGUUGUUUACUUGAUUAUAUCUAAUGAUCCAAUUUUAAUAUGUUAUAAAUAUUUGUUUUUUAAUCAAGUUGUUUACUUGAUUAUAUCUAAUGAUCCAAUUUUUAUUUUAUUUUAUUUACUCAUGAUUGGAUUAGGUUUAAUUUAUAAUGGUUGAAAAGUCGAUAUAUAUGUAAUAUUAUUAAAAUAAUAUUUUUAAUUUUGUUGGAUAUAAAAAUAUUUUUAAUUAAUGCGUUGUAUAUGAAUAUACACAUUUAAUUAAUGUGUUGUAUAUGAAUAUACAUUAGUGCAAGAAAUCCUAUAAUUUCGUACAGGUCUCGUAAUUGCUCGAUUAAAAUUUUCGAACUACCUCAACUUAAGAAAUUCGAUCCCAAAUUCAAAUUUUUCAAUACCAAUAAAAAUCAACUUAUUACAUCACCACUUGCAAAAUAUAAUUAUAAAAACAUUACUAUGGAGUAAGCCAUAAAAAAAAACAGUCCAAUUUACUGGAAUUGCAACUAUAAAAAACCUCUUGAAUUGCAACUAUAAAAUACCUCUUGAAUUGCAACUAGAGCUUCAGCUUGCCAACGAUUUAUGUCUGGAGCAAAUCGGUAGCUAACAGUCCAAUACGUACAAAAGUUCACAUAGAACAUCAAUUUAUUGGAACAACAGUGGUCAGAUACACCAGGCGCAAGAAAUUUAACAAGGGUGCUAAUAUACAAAAGAAUUUACACUUCUAAGCAUUAGAAAUCAAAUUAAAAUCAACUAGUAUUAAAAUAAUUAUCACAAUAUUUGUAAAAUUUAUAAUUAUAACAAGUGGCAAAUUAUUAUUUUGUCAAUUAAAGGAGCACAAUCCUUAACUGUCAGCCUCCUGGUCACUAAAGGAACACCAAGGUACCUAAUAGGCAGCCUUCCCAUGUUAAUCCCAAUAAUUCUAAGAAUAUCCUCCAUUUCCUCUCAAGAAUCCCAGAAGCAAAAAUUUCAGUCUUUGCAGGGUUAGGCUUUAAACUAGAAAAACAAAUUUAGCAUCACAUCAGGUAAGUGCUUUGUAAGUCAUUUAACCAAAAUCCUAGUGAUACACUCACAAAAAAGCAGAGCAGUAUGAGAUUGGCCGAAACUUCCUCAUAUGACCAGGAUUUUUAACCUUGGGAACUAAUACAAUUGUGGUUGUAUUAAAAGCAGGCAACAACUUAGAGUAAUUAAAAAAACAACACUGCUCUAAUCACAUCAGCGCCUACGAUAUGCCAUGCAACUUUGAAAAAAUCCCAGGCCAAUGUUUGCAUAGUUGGGUGUUGUGAAGGUUCCGGCAAUGCGGUUAGAUGCAAAACUCCACAUGCUGAUAGGAUGAACACAGAUGAUUACAUAGACAACAUCAUUCUUGUAGCAGACACAGAACCUAAAUAAUUACAACAUGUCAUAUAAAAUAGCGCAGUUACCAAAAGGCAACCUAGGCACUUGAGGUAGACAUACUUCAGGAAGCAUUUCCAUGUUUGGUAUGCAGCUAAUGUUUGUUUACCAAUCUAGCAGUCCAUUUUGAAUUAACCCUACCAUUAAUACACAUGUAUAUUACACACUAAAAGUCAAAAGGAGAAGAGUAAUAAGAUUUCCUCAUGUAUAUAUUACACACUAAAACCAUGUCGGAUAUAUGCUUAUAUCAAAGCACUCACACAAAGUAACAUAGAAGAAGGUUACUUGACAUAAAUAGAAUGUCCUAAAAACCCUCUGAUUGAUGCAAACUUACCUCUUUUCAACUUUCAAGGUAUUGACACUAGGUUUAUGAAAAUUUCCCUUGACAGACGAUUUGAUUUCAAUUUCAACAUAUUCCAAGCCAAGACAAGCUAAAAUAAGUUAUCAUACAAUUUCGUUUCAUAUCAAUGUUAUAAAUAAAUACCCUAUCCUUAAGAAUGACAAAGCAUCUUAAAUCAGAAAAUUUCAUUCUAAAACUGCUAUUGAUAAUUUAUAUAUAAAAGAGCCAAAAUCACCUAGAAGUUGAAUCACUAGUAGAUAUAAGGAAGAAAAUGAAAGUACCUAGAAAAGAAAGCACAAACAUAAAUCCCAGAAAGAAACAAAAAUUGAAACGAAAAGAAAAGGUAAACAAUUCGGAAACAAACCAGCAAUGAACUGAAACAAAACUUAACCAAUUAGAGGGUAUGAUCUUUACAAUUAAAAGCAUCUUACAGAGCAUCGGGAAGAAGAAGACGAAGAGUUCUCCUUGUCUCUUUUCUAUACGCUUUUAACUGUAUUUUCCCCGACUCUGGGAUUUUUUUGAUUUGUCUGCUGAAAUUGAAAAAAAAGGAUCAAGAAUCAAGCAUGUUGGUCAUGGGAACAAAUUUAAUAACACUAAUCUAUUUGAGAGAAUUGUUAAAACCCCUUACAUUCCAAAAAAGGAUUAACUAAAUCUUCUUCCAGUUCACAUUGAACAAUCUGUUCCAAUUCACAUUCAUCAUUCAAUAUCUCAAACCUAUUUUCAGAACCAGAAAUAACAGCUUUCCCUUUACCCUUCGAAGAUUUCCUCUUAACCAUACUUGAAGCACUCCCCUGUAACUCAUUCGCAGCCAUUACAACUUCUAAUUUUUUAUCAAAUGAAUUAAAGUUUCAUUUUAGGAAUAUAUUAAAUCUUUGAUCACGAAAAUUGGGAUUCAUGAUUCAAUUCAACUAGUUUAAGCCCUAGUUUUCAGAAACCUUAGAUGCCAAUUUUUAACGAUAGUUACAUGAUUCAACUAAUUUGAUGAAUCAAGUCUUACUAAAACCUCAUUUUAAAGGUGAAUGCAUGAUUCAAUUUCUAGAAAUGUUGAAUCUUUCAUCAUAGACAUAAAAGGGAAAACACGUUGAAAGAAAAAUGUUAGGGCAGACAAUGUUUACCUUGAUUGAAUUGGAAAGGUUUUCUUGAGGGUUUCUUUGGAGAUACUUGUUGGGAUUUGAAGAACAGAAGUCUAUUUUUGGACUUCCCUACUCACUGCAUUUGAAGAACAGAAUGGUGCGUUUGGUUCGACAAAACAAUCAAAUGAAAGUGAACCGGGAGCGGUGGAGGUCACUUUGCUGGCAGCUUCUAUUUGAUGUUGGGAGGGAGAGUUCUGGAGGUGGAUUUUGGCUUGGGAAGAUGAGGGUAAAACAGGGCAUAGAAAUUCUAAGAAUGCUAAACGGAAGCUAAACUGAACUUUGGGCAGGGAAUAGAAAUUGGUGAGUAAGGAGGAAUACGUACGCAAUGUAAUAGGCGCGUAAUGGGCAUUAGAGCGAACCAAAUGCUGGAAUAAGUGGGGCCCACCGAUUCGGCGCGUAAUGGUAUACCCAUUACGUCGAACCAAACAAAGUGCAAUACUCAAAAUUUUUGAAUCACAAAUAUUUACAGUAUUUAGCAUAUAGAAAACAAAAUUCUGAAAUUAAAUAAUAAUUUUUAUGAUUUUACAAUUUUAAUAGUUUAUAUCUUUAUAAAAUUUAAAAGAUUAAAUUAGAUUUUUAUCAUAUUUAAGGGAGUAAAGUGUAAUUUUAUAUUUAUUAAUUUAAAAUUUUAAAAUAUUUAAAGAGCUUAAAUGAAAAAUUUUUUAUUUUAGAGGACCAUGCCAACCCCUAGCUACGCCCGAGAUUGAUUGUAGCUAUAUUGUUAAUUGAUUUACUAUUUUACUAUUUAUACUAUUAUUUAAGCUUAUGACUAGUUGAUGUCACGAGUUAAUCAAGUACCAACUUGGUUAAAGAAAAUAUGAAAAUGUCACUCUAGUCUUUUUAUUAUAAAAAAAUAAAAAUAUGUGCAUAUAAUGGGAUUUUGAACCCAUAUCAAUUACAUUAAUAAAAUUAUUAAUUUACCACUCAACUAAAACUUUAAUAUUUUUAUACAUUUUUAUUUUAUUGUGCACACUUUAUUGUUAAUUAAUUUCAAACAUUAUGCUUUAAUUAUUUAUUGUAUGUUAUAUUCAAACGCACACUUAUAUUCUAAAUAUAUGAUUCCCAAACAUACGUGUGUGAUAAGUAUACUAAUUGUAACCUAUCUUACUAAUUGUUGUACUAAUUUAUGAUUUGCUUUCUUACUAGCUAGAUCUGUUAGCCAAACUCAAAUUACCUUCCUUUUAGAUCAAUUAAUUGACUUAAACCUAACUCAAUUACAUUUCUUUCUAGAGUGAUUAACCAAAAUAAUCGACCGAACCAAUUAAACGAGAUUGUUUCUAUUAUUAUAUUUAUGAAAUCAUGAUCGUUUAGUUAUUGGUAUUUUUUGUUGGGGUUAGGUUAAUUUAAUUUUCAAUAUUUCUAAACUAAAAUUUACAUCUAGAUUUGAUGAUGAUUGCUUGUCCACAGUUCAUGGGUUUCAAUUAUACCAACCUAUUCAAUCUUCUUUUUUCCCUAAUGCAUGUGAGAUCUCUUUUUCUUUUCCUUAGCAAAGUAUUUAGGGUCUCUCUUUUUUGGUCAAAGUAAUCUUUAAAUUUAAUAAAAUAAUUUAAAAACCCUAAUCACUUCUCCAUAAUUGAUGGAACUUACAAGUAUAAUUAACAAAAAAAAAAUACUGUUAUAAAUAAUUUAUGUCUCACCAAUUAUAACUAUAGAAUCAACUUAGUAUAGAAUACAAAAAGACUAAAAUCUAAUUAAAUACAAACAAAUAACAUUAAGAGUGAAAUAUAGGAAAGAACCCACACAUGAUAUUUACGUAUUAUGAAACUCAAACUUGGGCUCUCGAGUCCCAACAAAUCUCAUUGGCUCAUAAGCAAAUAUUUUAAUGUAUAACUAAAUUCAUUACUGAAUCAGUACUCUAGAAAUUAGUUAUUCUUAAGUUGAAAGAUUUGUAUGUAUAACAAAUUUAUAUAGUUUUAGAGAAGAAGAUGGAAGAUGGCCAAAUAGAAAGGACCAUUGGAAGGAUGAUAGUGAAGUUCCAGUUCCUACUCAGUUUCUGGUAUUAAAGAUGAUGGACAAUGUGGAAGGGAAACUAUUGAACAGGUCAUAUUGAAGAAAUAGUAGGGUGAUUAUAACCAAAGUGUAUUAAGGGUCGGACCUUGGCUUUUGAAUUUUGAUGAAAUCUCUCUGCCAUUUCUGAAAUUCCAAUUUUCCUUUAAGGAAAACGAUGACGACGAUGCCAAUCUAAUUCCCAUUCAAUUAAACCCUGAUCUCGAUCACAAUGCCAUCUACUGCCCAUAUAUCAAGUUAUUAUUUCCAUUCACUUUAAAGCCUGUUGUAGUUUUGGUUCAAUUUAAUAUUGCCAUUAAACAUCAUGAUUAAUUGACACAAUAUAGCAACCACACACAUGUCCUACUUUCUUUUGGGGUUGAAAACAUCACUGUAAAUGCAAAAGGAGAGAAGGUGAAGCCUUUCAAAUUCUCCACAUGCGAAAUGGUGCUGACAUGUCAGAUGGGCUGAUGUGGCAUACUAUGUUAGAAAAAUUAUAAAAAUAUUUUAAAAUUAAUAAAACAUAUAUAUACAUUUAGAAUAAAUCUGGACAAUGGUUAUCCAAAUUCAAAUGAAUUUGGACAAAACAAAUAUAGCCUUUAUACCAAAGCAAUUAGUUUUAUAUUAGAGGUAUUAGAGUUUAGGUUCUAUUUUGUUAAUCUACUUAUACAUGUUAUCUAAUAUGUUAAUUUUGUCUCAAAUUCAAAAAUAAUUGGUGCUCAAAAUGAUUCAAACCUAAGAUGACAUAAGUUUGAGAUGACCCUAUUUGAAAAACUUAAAUGGUGGUAAUCCAAAAUGGCUCAAACAUGAAACAACUUAAACCCAAAAUUGACCCGAACCAUAAUGACUCUCUAUUUAUAGCAGUAACAGAAAGGCAAAAUAGUAAAUAUGAAAGGGAAAAAGAGUAAAAAUCGUAGGGUUACCAUUUCCGUGCAAUAGUAAAAAAUAUAUUUUGUUGCCAAAAUUUUCGCAACCGUCAAAAAUCGAAAAAUGUUUUAAAGAAAUUAUUUUUUGAAAAAUAAUAUUGAUUAAAAUUAGAGAUAAAUUAUGGAUGAAAAUAUUGAAUUAUUUCAAAUGAUGAAGAGCAACUUUAAUAAUGUAGAGGGACUGGGUCGGUGUACCGAGGAUGAUACUUCGAAGGCUACUCUCAGAAGAGUCGAUCUGUAGCUCAAGUGGUACCAUAUACCUCAACAAUUGACCUAUAUUCAAUAGGUUAAGGGUUCGAAUCUCAUCAAGGGUGAGACUCUCAUGUCGCCUCUUAGUGGUGAUUGCAAGUCCACAUACGGUCAAGGCACCCCUUUUUGUGAGUAGUACAUGGCUCUCCACGGAGUGGGGGACAAAACCCUCUCACAGGGGAUAAUACCUUCUGUUGUUGAGACACUGGAUCGGCAUCCUCAAAGACGGCACUUCAAAAACUUCUCUCGAAUAAGCCGUCCCCAUUAACAAAUAAAUAAUUACUCUACACAACCGUAUUCUAUCUUUUAAAAUUAUUAUUUUGUCCCUUAAGAUAUCCAUUAAUCUUUUUAUGUAUUUCUAAUAUACAUGCUAUAUAUAUAGUAAAAUGAUAUAUAUAUAUAAUCUACACUAAAUAUGAGAAGAUUAUAAAUAUAAUAAUCUAUAAUUACUAAUGAAAAUUUUGGUUUGUACCGUUCACAUUGGCCGAAACAUGGUACACCUACUACUGCUGCAUUAAUAAUGUUAAAAAAUAUAAAUAUUUUAACUAUUUUCUAUUAGACUAAAUAUUUAAUUGAAAUGUAUUGACCAAUAAAAAAAAUAUUACACUAGAAAGUAAAAUUUAACAUUUAAAAUUUUUUUUGGAGCAUACUUUUUCAUGUAAAAUAUAAAAAUUAAAAUAUAAUAGAAAAAAACCCACUCACCUCAUUAUCAUACAGCUUUUCUUAUUGAAAAAACCCCCCACAUCCUUCAAUUUCUUUUUUUCUUCUUAAUUUUGAAUUUUUUGAAUGAUGAGUUUUGUAUUUACUGUGGUUGUUUUAUUAAUAAAAUUAUGUUUUGGAUUGAGAAAAAAAAUUAAGAAAUUCAAAACACAAAAACGAAAGUAGAGAAAGUGAACACAAUAAUUUAUGUGAUUCGGAAUAUUUCCUACAUCCACGGAUAGAACCAAAAAUAAAAUUCACUACUAAAAAAUGGAGAUUACAAAGGAAUUACAUAAUAAAAUAAAAUAACUCACCACAAUAACUAUCCACAAACUUUGAGCAAUCUUCUAAAUAAGCAUCAACUAUACACUUUCCACAAAUUGAAAAAUACUGGCAAUAAUAAAUAACAAGUGACCAACAAUCUCAAAAUGUCAAAAACAAUACUUUAUUUCAAACAUCCUAACCUCUUAUCAAUCAUCAAUGGAGGCCUAAGAUAAGUUGAUUUGUGUAGAUAGAAAUAGAUGAUGCUAAAAGCAUUACAAAAAAAAAAACUUACCACUCCAUUCCUUUUGUCAACAUCUGUUGACCAACGACGUUGUGCUGUUGUUGUGCCCAUAAGCAGGUAUUGCCCUCUUUGGAUGCCCACCAUUCAAGGGUUUAACACCCAAAGAUACGUACACCUCCCCAGUGGUACCAUUUGGCCUUUUAUCUGCCACCAAUUUCAUGGUUCCCAAAGUUGAAAGAAAGUACAAGGCUAAAUAAAUAGCAUAUUUGGCUCCUCAACUACAACUUUGUACCAAGCACCAAAAUAUGAUCCAACACCGGAAAGGAAUGUCAGAAGAACAAAUUCUCCAUAUAACCUAUACUUGCCCUAUCAAAAACAUUAAUAACAUCACAGUUGAAGCCCUUCAAAGCAGGGGAAAUUCAUAUAAAGAUUGGUAGAAAAUAUGCCAAUCUACUGGACCGAAAAGCUGAAAAACAACAUUAAAAGAGAGUGGAUAUAUAUCAUUUGAUUCAUUUAACUCAUACCUCAAAGUCAAAAGCAAGAGAGUCGAUAUAUAGUGAGUCACUUAGUCACUGCUAUUUUUGGGAACACUCAGGCUGGAAGUGAAAACCCCAAAUUGCAGCUCAGUGAACUCUGUUGUGUUUAUGUUAAAUUGAGCUCUCUAAUGCCAUGUUGUAACGUGUACUGUAUCCCUCCAUUCAUCCUGAAAGGAUCAAUACCAUGUCUACAGUGAUGACGAAAUCUGUUGGCACUGAUAUCCUUAUGCAAUAACAGAAAUCUAUCCACAAAGAUCAACAAACUAUCACGUAAAAGACUUGUUCUUCUGAAACACCAUUGGUUAAUAGUACAAUGAAAUCUCAAAUAUUUUUAACUAAAAUCCCAUUCCCAUAUACCAAUUUCAUAGCAACUGCUUAGAAAUUAGAAGAUGCAGAUGAAAACAGAACAUUCAAUUUGCAGAAUAAAUGUUGCAGAGAUUUGACUAACCGCUUUACUAAAUCAAAUAAGCUGAAGCAGACCAGUUGAAGGUCUCCUCUAUGUUUCGCCAGUUUAGCCUUCAAUGCCUGCAAAAAGUAAAUACAAAAUAUAUAACACCGAUUUCUAUUAUCGUGUUGUUGAUGAGGACAGUCAGAUAUAUAUAAAGAAAAGGUAAUGAAAUUGAUAAAUGUUUAAAAUGCGUUUCGCACCUAUGGUUUGAGUGUGGAGAAAUCGAUGCUAGAUUUUGCUGCUUAAAUUUCAAUAUAAUUCCCUCGGGUUGACUAUUUCACCAUCAAUUCGAACAUAAGGUAUGUGGGCAAUCUUGGACCACUCUCGUCCUUUACCCCUACUGCACCCUUUUUCUAGCAACGGGCAAUCAUAAAUAGAUAGAGGCUCAAGCGAGAGAAGCAUAUCUUUUUCCGAAAGAGAUGUGAGCUUAGGACAAUCAUCGAUUCGCAAUUUUUGAAGAGAGGUCAGGUAUUGAAAGCCCUUGGAGCACAUGAAUUCCAAAUUCUCAAAAUUUUUAAUGGAAAUAGAUGUGAGAGAAGGAGGCAGCGUCAUUCCUAUCCCUUCUUCUGGAAACGACACCACAUUUGAGCAUCCUUCACCGCUGAUGUUGAGUUGCUGAAGAGAGGUGAGUCUGUUAAAUCCCCAUUGAACAAGUGAUGUAUAAAUUUUGGGUGCGUUUGAGAUUGCAAGUGAUGUGAGGUUGGCAGGGAAACCCUCUUCUGGAAAGGAUAUGUCAGCCGAACAAUAAGACACCUUUAAUUCUCGAAGGGAGGUGAAGUUGUUGAUGCACUUGGGAAGGACUCCAAAAUUUUCACAAUUCUUAAUUGCGAAAACUCUGAGAUUUGUGGUGGGCAACCCACUUUCUUCAAAUGAAACCAGAUUUGGACACAAUUUUAAUCGAAUCUCUUGAAGAUGGCUGAGCUUGUCUAAUCCCCGCGGUAAUGAUUUAAAUUUUCCAGCACCCGAAAUACGAAUGCUUUCGAGAUCAGUGGUUUCAAGGAAGUCUUGGGAUAUGCAUUCCAACACUGGACAAUCCCGAAUAAAUAGCUUUUUAAGCAUUACGGGUAACUUGGCGUUUAAAAAUAACCUACUUAGCUUUGAACACUCCAUAAUUUGGAGAUGUUGAAGCCGAUUGCAUAUAUCGCCCCUUGAUGAUAACCAUAUUAGAGAUGGACAGUAGGUUAUUUGCAAGCGCUCAAGAAGACAAGUGUUGCUACUCAUACUCAUACUCUUAUUAUUAUUUUCUUUUUCAUCAACCAAAUAUUGCAAAUUCUCGCAAUUCCCAAUCCACAGCUCUUUUAAAGCAGGAGGAAAGUUACUCUCUGCAAAAGAAACCAAGCGUGGACAGCUUUCAAGUUGCAUGGUUGUAAUGAAUGGGAAAGCAUGUAAGGCUUCUGGUAGUCUAUUGAGCCUUUCACAAUUAUUUAUUACCAGAGAUUCAACACCCGGAAUCUUAUCAAGUUGCAAUCUCUCCUCUCUGUUUCCAAAGAGACCAAUUGCGGACAAUUCUCAAUCGUGAUGAAACGAUGCCCGCCUAAUCUUAACCCAAUUUCCGAUAAAGAUCCCAACUCUUUCCAACCAGGGAUGUAGAAUGUUUCGGAGUUUGCAAAUCUCAACAUUAUCCUCUCUGCUGAAAUAUUAACAUUUGAAAUAUUUGACAAACACAUCUUUCAAGGAGGUAACCUUCUGUACAGACAAAGAACCUUCAUCCACCAAUUCUUCACACCCUCCAACCGAUAAUUCACACAGCAAGGGAAAACUUGAAAUUGAAACUACCAGUCUCUUACACUCGUAGAUUUCAAUUGUCUGCAAGGAUUGAAGGAUGGUUGGCAACCUUCCCAGCAAUAGAGGACAUUCUCUGACUGAAAGAAAACGAAGGCUGGGGAAUUUCGAUACUUGCUCAUCAUCUUCACAUAGGUCCCACUCCUCCCAAUUCAGCAUAUUGUCAAAACGCAGAGACUCUAAUGAUGCAAAAGCAUUUGAUUGAUUUUCUCCAAACAGCUCAGCACCAAUCUUNNNNNNNNNNNNNNNNNNNNNNNNNNNNNNNNNNNNNNNNNNNNNNNNNNNNNNNNNNNNNNNNNNNNNNNNNNNNNNNNNNNNNNNNNNNNNNNNNNNNUCCAAACGACUAAUUGAAAGAUCUUUUAACAACAACAACCUUCCAAUCGAUGGUAGAGAUUUGCAGUUUUUACAGUCGUGAAGCUUCAAUGACAACAUAUUUUUGAAGGAAGGAUCUGCAAUCCAAGUAGAGAAUUUUGUACCACCAUAAUUCUCAAUGACGAGUUGCUCAAGCUUUUUUGGAGGACAAAGAGAGUCCAACACCCGUUCUUCAACUUCUUUAUUCCUUGAAGCAUUUUCAAACUUUUUCCUCCAAUGCAAUACCAGUCGAUCAAUCCCCUGCUUCUCAUAUAACUUGCUUUCCCCUGCAUCUUCACCAUUAACAUUCUCCAACCCAGAAAGACGGAAAUCACCUUCGAGGUUUGACAAAUAUUUCAAAUAUCUAAUAUGACAACCAUCACCUUCCGCUAUGAUAAAAUCAGAUAACCUUUGAAGAUUCUUUAGCUUAUCAAUUCUAAAAGGAAUCCUUUCUAUUGAGUUCGCACCUCUGAUAUCAAGAUAAUGCAAGUUGACAAGAUUUCCCAUCUUUGAAGGUAACCUUUGAAGCUUGUAACACCACCUUAAUAAUAAGGUUUCUAAAUGGUAAAGAGUGCACAAAGAAUCUGGUAGGCAUUCGAUUUCUGUGCCCGAAAAAUUUAAGUAACGAAGAUGUUUUAAAUUUUCAAAAACAUCAGGCAACUCAGUGAUGGCAUACCCACUCAAAGAAAGCACCCUUAAGUAGCCAAGUCUUGGCAAUAAAUCAACCAAAACAACAUUAGUUAAAUAAUGCCGCCAAUAAUCACUAGAAAACGUUAAGGGUAAAAAAGUACGUAAAGAAUUCACUUGAUCAAAUGCUUCAAACUUCUUCACUGUGUCAUAUGUUCCAACAAUAUAAGAAGAAUGUCGAGUGCAAUGUGAGAACUUCCAUUUCUUAUCACCCUCUAAUUUUGAGCAUAUUUCCCCUGCAACUACUUGAGCUAAAUCAUUGAUAAGGUCAUGCAUUACGAAUCGGGACUUAUCUUUACUGGAUGUCUCAAAAAAUGACCUGGACACUAGAUCUUGAAAAUAUUGAUUUCCGAGAUCUUUAAUUUGAGGCAUAGCUUUUUGUUGCAAGAGACCUUCUGCUCUCCAUAACAAGAUAAUUUCUUCUUCCUCAAAUUCAUAAUCUUUAGGAAGUAUGGAGCAAUAUGCAAAACAUCGUUUCAAGUCUGACGGAAGAUGAUGGUAGCUUAAUCGCAAAGCUGGAAUUAUGCCACACUGCUCUUCUGGUAAGUUCCAUAUCUCACUCUCAUAUAUUCUUUCCCAUCCUGCAUAGUCUUUAACUGUGCGUAGCAAGCUUCCAAUGGCUUUUGCAGCCAAAGGUAAGCCAUUGCACCUUCUAACAAUUUUCUCUCCAAUUUCUUUAAACUGGAGAUGUCCAUCGAAAUUUCUUGCUUUUAAUGCAUGCUGUGUAAAUAUGGAUAAACAAUCAUCAUCCGAUAGUUUAUCCAAAUGAAAAGCUUUGAGCGGAUCCACAAUAGAUGAAACAAUUCGAAGACGAGUGGUUACAAUGAUAUGGGUCCCUGUUCCAAACGGAGACCGUAAGAUGGUCCAAUCAUCAUAAUUCUCGUUCCAAAUGUCAUCUAAAACAAGCAAGAAUCUUUUCCCAGACAACUUCUCCUUCAACUUAACUUGAAGUAAAUUCAAGUCAUUCUCGUCACGAGAGUCAGGAUCGAUGGAUUUUAAAAUUGUCCUGGUUAUAUUAACUGCGUCAAAAUGAUCAGAAACGCAUACCCAGGCCUUGUGGUGAAAAGACUGGUUGAUGGUGGCAUCAUUGUAAACAAGCUGAGCAAGAGUUGUUUUACCCAUCCCUCCCAUGCCGACGAUGGAAAGGACUGAAACUCCGUUGGAGUUAUCACCUUCGAGAAACUCAAUCAUUUCUGUCUUCUCCUUGUGUCUGCCAACAUACUCCACAACUCCAUCCAGUACGGAAGUUGGUUGCAGCCUAGGUUGCUUUCCCUUGGAGGUUGGAGCUUGAGACAAGAUCUCACUCAACCCCAAACUACUUCUUCGAGUAGUCAAACUAUUCAGUCUAGCAGUGAUCUCUUUCACCUUCGGAAUCAUGGAAUUCUUAAACAGGAAAGAAGUGGGACUGAAAUUACUACUGGUACAGCAGGUAGGAAUGAGUUUCCGUACCUUGCUAGUGCUGGCUAGAGCUUGCGAUUUGUUGAGCUUGAGACGUAACUCUUCAUAAGCGAACUCAUCCAAGAUGUCAUCCACAUCGUAAGCCAAGUCCUGGAGAUCCUCCAACCAUUUCUUCACACCCAUAUUCUUGAUCUGCUUCUCCUCUGCAUCGUCCAACACUGCUUGGAUAUCAGGCAAUAUGGACUGCCACUGCUUGAGCUGCUGGUGGAGUUGGUUGUGAUUAGCAACAAAUUUGAGUGCAGAGUCGAGCGAUUUGCCCAACAACAGGUCCAGGAACCCAGAAAGAGCAGCCUCUCCAAUGACAGACAUGGUGGAAUUAUGAGAAAGAAGAUGAAGAGAGAAAUGAACAAAGCCAAAAUGGAAAGUCAGGGAACAAAAAAAAGAAAGAAAGGGAAAUGGAAUCUGCAAAAUUAGAGAAAGUUGAAGAAGUUGGCACUAUUUUUUAAGCAUCCAAUAAUUCAGACUACGAGUUGGGAAGGCAGUGGAUUGUGAAAAAGAGGGACCCCAAGUGGUUGUUGAUCGGGAAAAGACAACGAAAGUGGAAAUUUUUCAUCUAUUUUAAUCAUUAAAUUUAUAUAUUUUUUAAAUCACUUUAAAAUAUAUAGAAAACUUUUAUACAAGAUCAGUUAAAAACAUUAAUUUUUUAUUUAUUUUGAGGUGAUAUAAUAAAAAAAUACAAAUUUAACAGAUAAGUAUUUUUCAUAAAGUUAGAUAGCUAAAUCUUUAUGUAUUUUUUUUACGAGACCAAAGUGAAUUAAAGGGUUUGUAACUCUAAAAUAGAUGUACGUUCUUAUAGCUUCAUGCACUAUUAGUUAGAAUGCAUCCAACACAAAUCUUAAGAUUGAAUUAAAUUCUGGAAAAAAUACUAAUACAAAUAAAAAUAUUAAAAUUUAGAAUAAAAAUAUUGAUGUGACAUUAAAUUAUUAAAAACGGAUACAAAUGUCAUUGUAUCUCAAUUUUAUACUAUCAUUCCUCCAAAAUAAUUAUAUUUUUACAUCAUGUUUUUAUAAUAUAUGAUGUGAUCAUAAAUUAAACUCUUAAUUAUAGUGAUUAAUGUUCCAUUUUUGCAACUAAAAUCAAUAAAAAAUGAAAUUAAUAAAUUGUAUUUUUUAUUGGAAAACAUCUUUAUAUUAAUUAAUUAUGAGAAAACCUUUUUUAUGGAGAAGUGUGUUUAUACUAAUUAUAUUAUAGAAAAGUAUGUUUGAUAAUAGGCCCAAUUGAUAUAUUUAUUGGGCUUAAUUUUAAUAAGUUCUUUAAUAAGAUGUGAUUAAUUUUAGAUUUAUUAUUUGAUUUUUGAUUCGGUAUAAAAAUAAACUCAAAAAGUGAAAAAGAGUCGGAAAUACGAGUUAUCGUAAAAGUUUUGGAUUGAAGAACUAGAUGGACCAUGAUCUAUCUUUUGAAAACUUUAUUUUGGGAAUUUAUUAGUAAGAAAUAACAGUACUUUUAUUUUUUUAUUAGGAUAAUGUUUUAAUAUUUUAGUAUUAUUUAGAUAACCCUAGAUUAAAGAGUUUAAGUAGGAUGAGGCAUUUUGAGUUUUAAUAAUAUUUUUUAUGUAUAUUAUACUUUUUUGUUUUGGGCAGAAAUCGAUUGCAAAUGGAAUUUCUUUUCUUCUAUAUUUCUAAUUAUGUUCUUUCUUUUUCUAUUGUAAAAUAUUUCGCCGCCACGCCACCUUCCCAUUUUUUCCCUUAUUUGUUUGUUUCUUUUAUUUAAUUCUUGUUGAAUUAUUAGAUGUAUGUAAAUUUCAGGUAAAACCGAAUUAAUUUGGUUAACGGACUGAAUUCAAUUAAUCAAACGGUUAAUCGAAUUAAUUCAGUCAGAAAUUAAUUAAUAAUUUUUUGAAAGUUUAGUUAACGGUUAAUUAGAUAAUUAUUGAAGUGAACAAAGACAAAAUGGAAACCCAGGGACUAUAAUAGAAAGAAAGAGAGAUGGAUUCUGUGUAAUUAGUGAAAGUUGAAGAAGUUGGCACAAAGGUUUUUUUUAGCAUCCAAUAAUUCAGGCUAUCACUUGGAAGACAUUGGAUUAUGAUAAAGAAGAUGGACCCCAAGUGGCUGUUGAUGGGAAAAGACAAUGAAAGUGGAAAUUAAAGAGGUCCCAGUCCAUUAAAUUAUUGCACCCUCCCAUUUUUUCUGUCCCCGCAGUUAAUUUGUAUAGCUUUUCUUUUAGGCAUAAUGAUCACUCCUAAUUUGCAUAAAAAAUAAUUUUAACUCUUAAAUUUAUUUUACUACCAAACCACUCUAAAAUAGACCCACAUACAUGUGAAUUAUCAUCUAGAAGAUACAUCAACAUCUAAUUGAUUUUGAAUUUUUUUUUAAAAUUUAUUUUUUAACAAUAAAUUUUAAUUUUAAAAAAAAGUUUUUGUAGUUUUUUUAUUUUUAAAAUUUUUAAAAAAAUAAUUAAGUGAACGUUAGUAAAGUUAAAAAAGUUACAAAUUUAAGGGCUAAAAAAUAAAAAUUUAAAUAGAGAACUAAAAUAAUUUUUUUUAGUUGAAAAGUUAAAUAAACUAUUAUGUCUUUCUUUUAUUGGACCAAAAUGAAUUAAAGUGUCUGUAAUUCUGAAAUGGAUGGACUUAGUAUUUGGAUACAUUAUUAUUUUUACUGGAGAUCAGGAAUAGAUGGAUUUUUCAUGGGCCCAUUUAACUGAUAGGUUUUAUUACCACUUUAGCAACUUUGGUGAUUUAGUCAGUUACUCGAGAUUCGUAAUUAUUUUAUUUAUUGAUGCUAGCAAUGUACAGUGGUCAAAUAGGAUCAUUUCUUCUUAAAACCUUUUAUUUUUUUCAUCAUGUGGGAGUUUGAAUUAAUUCUCAUUUAUCUACUUCUAUCCAUGAUGGGGAAGAAACGUCUAUACUCGGCUACAAAAUUUAUUUUGUACACUGCAGGCGGUUCGGUUUUUCUAUUAAUAGGAGUUUUGCAUCCCAGUUUAUACGGUUCUAAUGAACCAACAUUAAAUUUUGAAAUAUUAAAUAAUCAAUCAUAUCCUAUAUUGAAUUUCUUAUUACUUUUGCUCUCAAAUCGUUGAUUAUAUACUCUUACAUACAUGGUACUAUAUAAAAAAAUUCAAUAAAUAAAAAAUGAAUAAAAUUAUUAAAUAUUAAAAUAAUAUAAUAUAAAUAUUUAAAAAAAUUAAAAAUAAUAUGGACAUGGCUAAAAUAGGUUUGGAUUAAUAUUUUGUAAAUAUAGGCAGGCUUGAGCAACAUUUUAGGAUCAAAUUUCGGGCUGGGUCGGGCUUAGAUAAACAUAAAGUAUAUUAAUAUCAUAUUUAGACCCAACCAGCCCAUGAAUAUAUCUAGUAACAGGGACCUUUGUUUUUGAAUUUUGUCAUAGCUUUUGUCCAUUGUCCCUAUUUCCAAGUAAAAUGAACGUUGAGCUCCAUGUCAAUGGCAUCAAAAUAAUUAUUUCCAUUAACAUCAAAAAUUUCCAUGUCAUGCCUAUCUAUAUCGUGUUGUGCAUGUAUUGUGUGUGAGCUUUUUUUUCGCCCUGUUUUUGAAGAAUCAUGUUGGUGCUUCCUAGUAUUUUAAGUAAUGGGUGGAGACAGAAAAAUUGAAGUGGAGUAGUAACUUGGAAGAAGCCAUGUUAGUUGGACCAGUUUUUUUUCUUUAAUGGCUUGGAUUAUAUGGAAUUCAUUUUACAAAGAGUUGAGCUUUUAUUAAUGGGAAGCAACCAUGGUGGUUGGUUCCGCACCAUGGUUUCAGUUGUACCUGCCAGUGCCACUGUUCCAGUGAUACAGCACAACAACAAGGAAUACAUUUUUCCACAUCGGUGAAAAUUUCAGUCUGUUCUGUUUACAUUGGCUCAUUUCGAUCAAUUCAAGUUGCACCGACCGAAACAUGAUGCAUUGGCUGUUACAUGAAUAAUUUAAAAAAUGUAAGUUUUUAAUACCUAGCAAUAAUAAUUAACUAGAGACCAACAUUUGUUUUUACAAUCUCGAAAUGUCAAAAACAAUACUCUAUACAAAACAUCAUCAAUGGAGGACUAAGACAGGUUCAUGAUUUGUGUAGAUAGAAAUAGAUUACACUAAAAGCAUUAGAAAAAGAACUUAUCACUCCAUUCCUUUUGUCAACAUCUGUCGACCAAAGAAGUGCUGUUGUUGUGCCCAUAAGCAGGUAUUCUCCUCUUUGGAUACCCACCAUUCAAGGUUUUUCACCCAAAGGUACGUACACCUCCCCAGUGGUACCAUUUGGCCUUUUUUAUCUGCCACCAAUUUCAUGGUUCCCAAAGCUGAAUGAAAGUACAAGGCUAAAUAAAUAACAUAUUUGACUCCUCAACCACAACUAUGUACCAAGCACCAAAAUAUGCUCCAACAUAGGAAUUGAAUCGACUUACUCCCUAUACUGCCAUUUUUUUUUAUCCUUUCACAAAAUAAAUAGUGAAAUGUCAAAUAUUUGAGGUAAUGGGUGGAGAUAUAGAAAAAUUGAAAUGGAGACUUAACUUGGAAGAGGCCAUGUUGGCUGGACCUGUUUUUUUUUUUUCAAUCAUAUUUUAACAUUUUACAAAUAUUUCUUUAAUGGCUUGGAUUAUAUGAAAUUUGUUUUUACAAAGAGUUGAGUUUUUUUAAUGAGAAGCAACCAUGGUGAUCUGUUCCGCACCAUGGUUUCAGUCGUACCGAUUGGUGACACCAUUUUAGUGCUAUAGCGCAUCCAGCAACACCCUCUUUCAUAUCGGUGAAAAAUUCAGUCCAUACCGUUCGCACUGGUUCGUUUCAGUCAAUUUCAAUCACACCGGCUGGAACAUGGUACACCAGCUGCUAUAUGAAUAAUAUUAAAAAAAUAUAAAACUUUUAACUAUUUUCUAUUAGACUAAUAACUUAAUUCGAAUGUAUUGACCAAUAAAAAAAAUAUUACACUAAAAAGUAAAGUUUAAUAUUUAAAUUUUGUUCUGGAAUAUAUUUUUACAUUAAAAAUGCAAAAAUUAAAAUAUAAUAAAAAAUCCACUCACUUCAUUAUCAUAGAAAAAUCUUAGCUCAUCCUUCAACUUCUUUUAUUGAAAAAAUCCCUUCUUUUUUCUUGUUAUUUUUUAAUUUAUUGAAUGAUGAGUUUUUUAUUUGUAGAGUUUAUUAAUCAAUAUUUUAUAUAAUUGAUGAAUAUUUUACAUUGGAAAUGUAUUCAGAAUCAUUUAUUUGGUAUUUGUAUAUUUAUUUAUAUAGAUAUAAAAUAUCGAUAAAUUCAAAACCAUAUAUCAAAAUAGACUAAUACCAGUAUGUACCAAUUCCAGUAGAAAAGUGGUACAUUUACCGGUUUGGUGUUGACUACCUUGAAAGCAAUUAUGUGGCAGAGUUGUUUGAAAGGAAAUGAGUAAAAGCGUGUUGAGAUAUUAUUUUAGGUGGCUGAAAUGUUUGAUACUUUGUUUUCUUUUGAGUAUUUUGGUUUGAUGCUUUUGAUUUGUGUUGAUAUUUGAGUGUAAUCAUUGAGAUAUAUAUGAUUAUCUCUUUUUUUUUUUAUGAUUUGUUUUGUAUUUACUGUAGUUAUUUUAUUAAUAAAAUUAUGUUUCGAGUUGAGAAAAAAAACUAAGAAAUUCAAAACACAAAAAUAAAAGUAGAGAAAGUGAACACAAUAAUUUACGUGGUUCGGAAUAUUUCCUACAUCCACAGGUAAAACCAAAAAUAAAAUUCACUAUUAAAAAAUAGAGAUUACAAUGGAAUUACAUAAUAAAAUAAAAUAACUCACCACAAUAACUAUCCACAAACUUUGAGCAAUCUUCUAAAUAAGCAUCAACUAUACACUUUUCACAAAUUGAAAAAUACCUGGCAAUAAUAAAUAACAAGUGGCCAACAAUCACAAAAUGUCAAAAACAAUACUUUAUUUAAAACAUCCUAACCUCUUAUCAAUCAUCAAUGGAGACCUAAGAUAGGUUGAUGAUUUGCGUAGAUAGAAAUAGAUGAUGCUAAAAGCAUUACAAAAAAAAAACUUACCACUCCAUUCCUUUUGUCAACAUCUGUCGACCAACGACGUUGUGCUGUUGUUGUGCCCAUAAGCAGGUAUUGCCCUCUUUGGAUGCCCUCCAUUCAAGGGUUUAUCACCCAAAGAUACGUACACCUCCCCAGUGGUACCAUUUGGCCUUUUAUCUGCCACCAUAUUUGGCUCCUCAACUACAACUUUGUACCAAGCACCAAAAUAUGAUCCAACACAGGAAAGGAAUGUCAGAAGAACAAAUUCUCCAUAUAACCUAUACUUGUCCUAUCAUAAACAUUGAUAACAUCACAGUUGAAGCCUUUCAAAGCAGGGAAAUUCAUAUAAAGAUUGGUAGAAAAUAUGCCAAUCUACCGGACCGGAAAGCUGAAAAGCAACAUUAAAAGAGAGCUGCAAUGAAACUAGUUCCAAACUGCUGCAGUAUAUAUAUCAUUUGGUUCAUUUAACUCAUACCUCAAAGCCAAAAGCAAGAGUCGAUAUAUAGUGAGUCACUUAGUCACUGCUAUUUUUGGGAACACUCAGGCUGGAAGUGAAAACCCCAUAUUGCAGCUCAGUGAACUCUGUUGUGUUUAUGUUAAAUUGAGCUCUCUAAUGCCAUGUUGUAACGUGUACUGUAUCCCUCCAUUCAUCCUGCAAGGAUCAAUACCAUGUCUACAGUGAUGACGAAAUCUGUUGGCACUGAUAUCCUUAUGCAAUAACAGAAAUCUAUUCACAAAGAUCAACAAACUAUCACGUAGAAGACUUGUUCUUCUGAAACACCAUUGGUUAAUAGUACAAUGAAAUCUCAAAUACUCUUAAAUAAAAUCCCAUUCCCAUAUACCAAUUUCAUAGCAACUGCUUAGAAAUUAGAAGAUGCAGAUGAAAACAGAACAUUCAAUUUGCUGAAUAAAUGUUGCAGAGAAUUGACUAACCGCUUUAUUAAAUCAAAUAAGCUGAAGCAGACCAGUUGAAGGUCUCCUCUAUUUUUUGCCAGUUUAGUCUUCAAUGCCUGCAAAAAGUAAAUACAAAAUAUAUAACACUGAUUUUCAUUAUCGUGUUGUUCAUGAGGACAAUCAGAUAUAUAUAAAGAAAAGGUAUGAAAUUGAUAAAUGUUUAAAAUGCGUUUCACACCUGUGGUUUGACUGUAGAGAAAUCGAUGUUAGAUUUUGCUGCUUAAAUUUCAAUUUAAUUCCCUCGGGAUGACUGUUUUAAAAUCAAUUUGAACAUAAGGUAUGUGGGCAAUCUUGGACCACUCUCGUCCUUUUCCCCUACUGCACCCUUCUUCUACCAACGGGCAAUUGGAAAUAUAUAGCCACUCUAGCGAGAGAAGCAUAUCUUUUUCCGGAAGAGAUGUGAGCUUAGGACAAUCACAGAUUCGCAAUUCUUGAAGAGAGGUCAGGUAUUGAAAGCCCUUGGAGCACAUGAAUUCCAAAUUCUCAAAAUUUUCAAUGGAAAUAGAUGUGAGAGAAGGAGGCAGCCUCAUUCCUAUCCCUUCUUCUGGAAACGACACCACAUUUGAGCGUCCUUCACCGCUGAUUUUGAGUUUUUGAAGAAAUGUGAGUCUGUUAAAUCCCCAUUCAACAAGUGAUGUAUAAAUUUUGGGUGCGUUUGAGAUUGCAAGUGAUGUGAGGUUGGUAGGGAAACCCUCUUCUGGAAAGGAUAUGUCAGCCGAACACUCCCACACCUUUAAUUCUCGAAGGGAGGUGAAGUUGUUGAUGCACUUGGGAAGGGCACUAAAAUUUUCACAAUCCUCAAUUGAGAGAACUCUGAGAUUUGUGGUGGGCAACCCACUUUCUUCAAAUGAAACCAUAUUCGGACACCCAGAUAAUUGAAUCUCCUGAAGAUGGUUGAGCUUGUCUAAUCCCCGCGGUAAUGCUUUAAUUUUUUCAGCACCACGAAUGCCAAUGCUUUCGAGAUCAAUGGUUUCAAGGAAGUCUUGGGCUAUGCAUUCCAACACUGGACAAUCCCGAAUAAAUAGCUGUUUAAGCAUUACGGGUAACUUGGCGUUUAAAAAUAACCUACUUAGCUUUGGACAAUGGAAAAUAUUGAGACGUUGAAGCCGAUUGCAUAUAUAGCCCCUUGAUGAAAACCAUAUUAGAGAUGGACAGUAGCUUAUUUCCAAGCGCUCAAGAAGACAAGUGUUGCUCCUCAUACUCUUAUUAUUAUUUUCUUUUUCAUCAACCAAAUAUUGCAAAUUCACGCAAGUCCAAAUCCUCAGCUCUUUUAAAGCAGGAGGAAAGUUACUCUCUGCAAAACAAACCAAGCCUGGACAGUUUUGAAGUUGUAUUCUUGUAAUCAAUGGGAAGGCAUGUAAGGCUUCUGGUAGUCUGAGCCUUUCACAAUUAUAUAUUAGAAGAGAUUCAACACCUGGAAUCUUGUCAAGUUGCAAUCUCUCCUCUGUUUCCAAAGAGACCAAUUCGGGACAACCCGCAAUCGUAAUAAAACGAUGCCCGACUAAUCUGAACCCAAUUUGCGAUAAAGAUCCCAACUCCUUCCAACCAGAGAUGUAGAAUGUUUCGGAGUUUGCAAAUCUCAACAUUAUCCUCUCUGCUGAAAUAUUAAAAUUUGAAAUAUUUGAAACAGACACACCUUUCAAGGAGGUAACCUUCUGUACAGACAAAGAACCUUCAUCCACCAAUUCUUCACACCCUUCAACCCUUAAUUCACACAGCAAGGGAAAACUUGAAAUUGUAACUACCAGUCUCUUACACUCAUAGAUUUCAAGUGUCUGCAAGGAUUGAAGGAUGGUUGGCAACCUUCCCAGCAAUAGAGGACAUUUUCCGAUUUUAAGAAAACGAAGACUGGGGAAUUUCGAUACUUGCUCAUCAUCUUCACAUAGGUCCCACUCCUCCCAAUUCAGCAUAUUGUCAAAACACAAAGACUCUAAUGAUGCAAAAGCAUUUGAUUGAUUUUCUCCAAACAACUCAGCACCAAUCUUGUGUAUUUGAUCCAAACCACUAAUUGAAAGAUCUUUUAACAACAACAACCUUCCAAUCGAUGGUAGAGAUUUGCAAUUUUUACAAUUGCGAAGCUCCAAUGACAACAUAUUUUCGAAGGAAGAAUCUGCAAUCCAAGUAGAGAAUUUUGCACCACCAUAAUUCUGAAUGACGAGUUUCUUAAGCUUUUUUGGAGGACGAAGAGAGUCCAACACCCAUUCUUCAACUUCUUUAUUCCUUGAAGCCUUUUCAAACUUUUCACUCCAAUGAAAUACCAAUCGAUGAAUCCCCUGCUUCUCAUUUAACUUGGCUUCCCCUGCAUCUUCACCAUUAACAUUCUCCAACCCAGAAAGACGGAAAUGACCUCUGAGGUUUGACAAAUAUUUCAAACCUCUAAUAUAACUACCAUCACCUUCCCCUAUUAUAAAAUCAGUUAACCUUUGAAGUUUCGUUAGCUUAUCAUUUCUAAAAGGAAUCCUUUCUAUUAAGUAGGCACCUCUGAUUCCAAGAUAAUGCAAGUUGACAAGAUUUUCCAUCUUUGAAGGUAACCUUUGAAGCUUCGAACACCGUCUCAAUAAUAAAGUUUCCAAAUGGUAAAG
rnacentral:lncRNA from 1 species